CUCUUGUGAAUUGUGGCUUAACAAAGGCAACAGAUAGCUUGACGCUGUAUAAUCAAUAAAUAAAACUAUUUGAAAACAGAACUCUACACCAAUAUUCCCUUAGCACAGAACUGUCAACUUCCCUGACGAAGCUUUAUGAUCUAUUUAUAAGCUAGUGGUACUUAUCUUUUUUUCAAAGCCAAUUGCCAUUUUCAGUAUACAAUGUAAAAAUGUAAUUGUCUACCCUGACG
rnacentral:lncRNA from 1 species